rnacentral:lncRNA from 1 species
CCAGCUGGGCUCCUCCGUCCAUGGGAUCCUCCAGGCAAGAAAACUGGAGUGCGUUGCCAUGUCCUCCUCCAGGGCAUCUUCCCCACCCAGGGAGAGAACCCUGGUCUCCUGCAUUGCAGACAGAUUCUUUACCGUCUGAGCCACCAGGGAAGUACACUGUCAGUUUCCUCAUUUUCUCUUCCUCCCCAGCUCCCACCACAUCUGCACUUGGCUUUUAAAAUUUCCUGGAGAGCUGAGGAGAUUCUUUACCGGCUAGAUGUGGAUUGGCCGAAGUAUUCAGAAUACUUCACCGGAGCAACAUUUUGUGUUGCAGUUGACUCCCUCAACGGAUUGGUUUAUGUAGCCCAGAGAGGGGAUAACAUCCCAAAGGUAUUAGUGUUCACAGAGGAUGGAUAUUUCCUACGAUCCUGGAAUUAUACAGUUGACACACCUCAUGGUAUAUUUGCAGCCAGUACACCACAGGAAAAAUCCGUCUGGAUCACGGAUGUAGGAAGUGGAUUCUAUGGUCAUACUAUUAAAAAAUACAAUUCCUUUGGUGAUCUUGUUCAAGUUUUGGGGACCCCAGGCAAAAAAGGCACUGGUUUGAACCCCCUGCAGUUUGAUAACCCUGCGGAAUUACAUGUAGAUGACACAGGAGAUAUUUACAUUGUGGAUGGAGAUGGAGGGUUGAAUAACAGGCUGAUCAAAUUGUCCCAAGAUUUUAUGAUCCUUUGGCUGCGUGGAGAAAAUGGAACAGGGCCUGCUAAGUUCAACAUACCCCACAGUGUUACAGUGGAUUCCACUGGUCGGGUGUGGGUGGCUGACCGAGGCAAUAAAAGACUUCAGGUGUUUGAUAAAGACACAGGGGAUUGGUUGGGAGAGUGGAAGAACUGUUUCUCGGAAGAGGGGCCUUCUGCAGUCAGGUUUACUCCUGAUGGUAAAUACGUGGUCGUGGCCCAGCUGAAUCUGAGCCGGCUCUUAAUCCUGGUGGCGCCCCCGGUAGGAAACAUCGGUGACUGCUCUGUGGUCAGCACAAUCCAGCUGGCCGAUCAAGUCUCCCCGCAUCUCUUAGAUGUCAGCAGGGAGACCGGAGCAGUCUACGUAGCCGAAAUUGGAGCAAAGCAAGUGCAAAAAUACAUCCCCGUGAAUAGUGAAGUGCUUGAGAGAUGGGAUCUUGAUUAACGAGAACCCACAGGGCGCCGGGCCCUGAAGAUGCAGACGUGAAGAGGCAGGGUUGUCUGCGUGCCUUUGAGUAGCUUACAGUCCACACGAUGUGGUGACAGUAACACGCGCGAUUGGACUUCUGGAAGAGGAGCGACAGGUCUGAGUUGAGGAGUCUUUGCAGGAGAAUCAGUUUCAGCUCCAACUGGAAAAACUGAGGAGGAAAAACCAUGAGUUUCGGGUAGAGAAGUGAUGAAAAAUCGCACCGUUGCUGUGAACCUCAGCAGGCUUUCUUUUAAUGGCCCAAUUUAGCUUUGGUUGUUUAGCUCAGGGGUCCCCAGCCUUUGGGCUGUGGACAGGUUGGUACCGCCUGUCAGGUCAGCAGCAGCGUUAGAUUAGAAAUAAAGUGCACAAAUGAACGUAAUGCA